rnacentral:rRNA from 1 species
UACGUAGGUGACCAGCGUUGUCCGGAUUUACUGGGCGUAAAGAGCGCGCAGGCGGUCGUUCAAGUCGAGUGUGAAAGCCCCCGGCUCAACUGGGGAGGGUCACGCGAUACUGAUCGACUGGAAGGCAGGAGAGGGUAGUGGAAUUCCCGGUGUAGUGGUGAAAUGCGUAGAGAUCGGGAAGAACAUCAGUGGCGAAGGCGGCCUGCUGGGCUGUUGCUGACGCUGAGGCGCGACAGCGUGGGGAGCAAACAGG